GCAGUAUUCUGUGUGCAUCAACAAUAAUUGUGUCGUCCUCAACCAGACCACUGGGGCAGAGGGGGAAGUCAUGGAGACCUUGACCUUGCUGAAAGCCCACUUAAAGAAGUAUCCCUGACAUUUCUGAUCUUGGAGCGUGACAUUCAUCUGUGUGGACUUAAAGGCAUUUGGAGAACGGGGCAGAGUGCCCUGCCAGAGAGAGCAGUGUGUUCCAGCUCCUCUUGCCGCCAGCAACUCUCUUCUAUGCCUGAGCUCCAACUAGAUAAUGGGCCAUCUUGCUUUACCUCUGAAGUGAGGCUCGGAGCAAUUUUUUUAUUGUCGUAAAGGAAAACCAGGAUGUGGUCGAAGGGAAGAACUGUGAAUUGCUUUGAGAAGAACAGAUGGAAAACAUUUUCUGUCUAAAUCUUUGAGAAGGAUUUCACGCUGAGAAUUAGAGGCCUGGUCUGCUUUGUGAAUAUUAUGAAAGCAUGACCCGUAAAAAUAGAAUGCAAUGAACACUGACGGUUGGAGUCUCUUAUUCAAAAAGAAUGUAUUCCGGCGUGUCUCACUAGAAUUGAAAGGGCAGAGAUUUCAGAAUCCUUGUGUUUUCAUUCUCAACCGUCUGAAAUGGUUGCAAAGUUUUUAAAUAUAUUGUUUGCACAUAUGAAUGAAGAUAAAUUAUUG